GAAUCUAAAUGCCCAGGACAUGGUGCUGAUGGUGAGUGCUGGAGGAGUGCAAAGAGGAGAGAGAUGGAAGGGGGUCCAUAGAGGAGAUGUGAGGACAGAGAGGGAGCAACCUUCUUGUGAUCAUGAGGAUGAGAGUCAUAUGAAAAGCAGCAGAGGGAAAAAUACAAGGAGCAUGAGACCCGGAGGGAACCACCAAGCCAGCCCUGGACUUUCUGCCUCUGGACUUUUGACCUGUUCUUCACUCUUACGUGCACACUCCUCAAGGGCAGAGGCCAUAUCUACAUCAAUGAAUGAAUGAAUGCUCAUCUCAUAAAACAUACUGUGAGCUUAGAGACUAUGCUUUUUGCUGAAGGAGAUGUCUGAAGAGGAAAAGCCAUGAGAGGACACAGUGAGAAGGUGGCCAUUUACGAGCCAGGAUGAGAGCCCUCAUCAGAAACCGAAUUUAGUUGCACUUUGAUCAUGGACUUCUAGCCUCCAGAAUGGUGAGAAAAUAAAUGUCUGUUGUCUAAGCUA
rnacentral:lncRNA from 1 species